rnacentral:lncRNA from 1 species
GAGGUUAAAUGAUAGUAAUAGCUAGUUGAACUGUCAUGACAUGCCAUGGAAGAUAAACUAAUCUGCAUCUAAAAGAAAUUGGUUAAAUCAAGUAGUUAUUGGAGACAUAGGGCAAGUUAUGAAGGCCUUAAGUAUGGGCUAAUUAUGAAUUAGGACUGUUAGAUAAUGUGAAAACAAAGGCCAAUUAAGUUUUGUACUUUGUGUGGUUCAAACUAUUAGCCAAAUAUGAGGUGAA